rnacentral:rRNA from 1 species
CAGCCGCCGCGGUAAUACGGAGGGUGCAAGUGUUAAUCGGAAUUACUGGGCGUAAAGCGUGCGUAGGCGGUUCGUUAAGUCUGUUGUGAAAGCCCCGGGCUCAACCUGGGAAUGGCAAUGGAUACUGGCGAGCUAGAGUGUGUCAGAGGAUGGUGGAAUUCCCGGUGUAGCGGUGAAAUGCGUAGAGAUCGGGAGGAACAUCAGUGGCGAAGGCGGCCAUCUGGGACAACACUGACGCUGAGGCACGAAAGCGUGGGGAGCAAACAGGAUUAGAUACCCGCGUAGUCCCUGUCUCUUAUAC